rnacentral:rRNA from 1 species
GACGAACGCUGGCGGCACGCCUAACACAUGCAAGUCGAACGGACGAGAAAGAGCUUGCUCUUUCGAGUUAGUGGCGGACGGGUGAGUAACACGUUAGCAACCUGCCUCUGAGAGUGGAAUAACGUACUGAAAAGUAAGAUAAUACCGCAUAACAGAUAUUUGCCGCAUGACAGAUAUAUCAAAGAUUUAUCGCUCAGAGAUGGGAUAGCGUGUGAUUAGCUAGAUGGUGAGGUAACGGCCCACCGUGGUAACGACCAGUAGCCGGACUGCGAGGUUGAACGGCCACAUUGGGACUGAGACACGGCCCAGACUCCUACGGGAGGCAGAAGUGGGGAAUAUUGCACAAUGGGCGCAAGCCUGAUGCAGCGAUGCCGCGUGAGGGAAGAAGGUUUUCGGAUUGUAAACCUCUGUCUUCAGGGACGAUAAUGACGGUACCUGAGGAGGAAGCUCCGGCUAACUACGUGCCAGCCGCCGCCGUAACAC